rnacentral:lncRNA from 1 species
GCUGACCCGAGUGGUCACAUUUGCCCUCUGGGGCUUUUGAAAACCUUAAAUCAAAAUUGCUUUUGAAUCUGACAACUCCUGAGGCUACUUUCGCGGCCUCGGGGCUGUUUCAUAUAAGGACGCGAGUUUUCCUGAUCAGGUCUGUCGGCCACGUUACGAUUUCCAAUUUGCGAUCCAUCAGUUACUUCCAUUGGGUCUUCAGCCCCCAGGGACUGUGGAUCCUAGACCCCGCGGAGAAGCCCGUGGACUGGAGCUGUGUCAGCUCUGAUGGAACAAAAACGGAGGCACAGAGAGGUCAAUUGAUUGGUCUAAUGACACAGAUCUAGCAAGUGGUGGAACCAGGACUGAAUCCAGGUGUGUGUCCGGAAUUGGUGGGUUCUUGGUCUCACUGACUUCAAGAAUGAAGCCGCGGACCCUUGCGGAACUGUGAAGACUAGAGUGACCUUGGAGAUCUCAUCUGGAAGAUGGUAGAACUGCUAUCAGCCUGGCUUCCCAAAUGACCUCCUGGAUCACAGCUACCCAUGGCCUGAAAUGUUGACCUUGGAGUUGUUGCAUAGGAAAGAAAUAAACUUCUUUGUUCUUUGAGCC